rnacentral:rRNA from 1 species
CGCCAAGUCGACGUAUCGAUACUGAGCGUAAGCGUCGUCGCAGGUGGUCUGUCUUAAGUCUGAUGUGAAAGCCCUGGGCUCAACCUGGGAAGUGCAUUGGAUACUGGGCGACUUGAGUGCGGAAGAGGGUAGUGGAUUCCAUGGGUAGCGGUGAAAUGCGUAGAGAUAUGGGAGGAACACCCAUGGCGAAGGCGACUUUCUGGUCUGUCACUGACACUGAGGCACGAAAGCGUGGGGAGCAAACAGGAUUAGAUACCCCCCGUAGUCCA